GGCUGCUUGGCCGAGUGGUUAUGGCGCUAGUUUCAGGACACCUGAACAGAGUUCCGAAUUAAGGAAUCCAAUUACUAGUUGGGCAACCUUCGUGAGUUCGAGUCUCACAGCAGUCA